CCCUCCCUCUCUCCUGCCCCUCCGUGCCCCAGGACCAUCCCAGGACCACCUCUAACCCCCACAGCCCCGUUACCCCCUCCCUCCCUCUCUCCUGCCCCUCCGUGCCCCAGGACCAUCCCAGGACCACCUCCCGUCAGGUGUUCUCUCCCUUCCCGAGUGUGAAACAGCACAGACGUUCAUCUGCAGCCCGUAACCUGGGUCUCUACGGUCCCACACCCAGAACCCCUACAGUUCACUUCCCUGGGCUCAGCCUGAGCCGUACUACCUCCACUCUGUCCACCAGGAGGCGAUAGAGGCCACGCGGCACUGACUGACUGGCUCUGGUGGGGACGGGACCGGACCUGAGAGAGACUGGGGACUGGACCUGAGGGGGACGGGGGACGGGACUGGACCUGAGAGAGACGGGACUGGACCUGAGAGAGACGGGACUGGACCCGAGAGAGACUGGGGGACCGGACCCGAGAGAGACUGGGGGACCGGACCCGAGAGAGACUGGGGGACGGGACCCGAGAGAGACUGGGGGACGGGACCCGAGAGAGACUGGGGACCGGACCCGAGAGAGACUGGGGGCGGGACCGGACCCGAGAGAGACUGGGGGACGGGACUGGACCCGAGAGAGACUGGGGACCGGACCCGAGAGAGACUGGGGGACGGGACCGGACCCGAGAGAGACGAGUGGGGUCAGUAAUCAGCUAUGGUCUGAUCCACUGCUCAUAGGUAGGACCUUAACUCUCCACAGUGGAGGUCAAUGCCCUCUCAACCAAUAGGAAGAGGAAGAGCUGCUAUGUAACUUCCUGUGUUGUGGUCAUUUCCUCCCCCCUGCUGGAAGCUGUAAACUGGGAUCUGUCUGGCUGAACGGCAUCAUGGGAUCGUCUCUGUCCACUCACCUAUCCCAGGUCACGUUCUCUUCACCGUAUAAACACAAUGUUCAACUCCUUCCUUCCUCUCAGCUGAUUUCUGUUCCCCACUUCCUGUCUGCCUGUUUGCUUCCUGUCAAUGUGUCUCUCCGCAGUAAGACGCCAUACUAAAAGAUCCAUAGACCCGUGUGUCCGUGAUGUGAUUUGUAAUUGUUGGUAAAUGAACCCACGCCAUUGUGGGGUGAGAGGUCACUGCACUGCUAAUAAAGAAGGUGAAAUCAUGCUGUCAA
rnacentral:lncRNA from 1 species